UUGCCGUAGUGCAGGUGGGAUUGCCAGGUGCCAGGUGCCCCUACUGCAGCCUGCACGGAGGGGACCGUCAUUUUCAGACUGUCCUUUUAGCAGGACUUCAAUGUCAGGGCAUGAGUUUUUAAUCCUGGGCCACAAGAGGCCCUGACACUUCCUCUGUUGCUCUCUUGAAACCUUCACGAAAGGAAGCCAACCUAGGCAGCAUCCAACACUGACUGCCAGACAUGUAAGUGAGACCAUCUUGGAUUUCCCCGCCCAGACGACCAUCUGGCUGAAUAAGUGAAAUCAAGUGAAGGCAGAAGAGGAGCUGCCCAGCAACCCACAGAAUGGCCUCCAAAGAAGUCUACAAAUUCCAUCAGUCAGUAACGGCUUGGAGUUCCAAAGCUUAUGACUCAAAGGUGAUCAGAGCAUGGACCUGGGGCUAGUCUGGAUUGGUAACUGCUAAACUUGGAUACAUGGCUUCUGAUGGCCCUGCUGGGGAGACCAUGUGGAGAGAUGGCAUAGAGCCAGAGAUUCACGUUCCAGGAGCCCUGACUGUCUCAUCUCAGGGAAUUGAAUCUCCUUGUGCUCCAGACCCUAUGAGAGGAUGCCAUCCCCUGCUACCAUCUGACUGCAACCUCAGGAGACACCCCAAGCCAGAACUGAGCAGCCAAGCCACUCUCAUAUUCUUGACCCAUAGACAUUGGGAGAUAAAAACUGAUUGUUGUCAAUUUUAGUCAGUACAUUUUAGGGCAAUUUGAUGUCCUAGCAAUAGACUAGUAUAUUUAUCCAUUGCUGCAUCUUCUUCUGCUUAGAUUAUGAUGCAUGUUUUUUAGCUCCAACUAGUAUCUAAACUUGUCAUGGUCUUUGCUUGAAAGUUUGAUUUUUUGCUGCCCUUGAACUUUACCCCUGAUUCCAAUUUACCCAUUUGUUUUGGUUUAGUUUAAGGAGAUUGUAAACAAGUAUGCCUACAAGGGCCAUGCAACAAAUGCUAAAAAGAGAAGUAGACCUGGGCAGGGAGGCAAGGGAGCGGAAAGAUGUGUAGUACGUUCAGCUCAGGUCACGUUCAUCAUCCAGCUCUGGAAGAUGGAUCCAGUGGGCAUGUGUGCCUAAUGAUGCCACAUUAUCUGAUUUUUUUCUCCAAAAGAAAAAUCAAGAUUUUUAUUAAAAAUCUUCUGGUUUAAAAAAAUUUAAAUGCUAUUCAAAUUUCAAUAACAACCAUGCCAGAUAAAAAAUAGCUACUGACUGAACUUAGCCAUGAUCUGCCAACUUGCAACCUCCAAAUUAGAAGUUUUUAGCCACUAUGGAUGUUAGGAAGACCUGAAACACAGAAUAGAGAGAUUCCAAUUUUUCUAGUGACAAUGAGUCCUGAGAAAGGUGACAAAAUCAGAAUAACCUUUGGAGAAAGAUAAAUGCUACUAUCAGUGGAAUGGGAUUCAGUCUUCAGCCUGUUGUAGUAAUUCAGUAAGCACAUGUGGUCAUUGAGUGAACUCGCAUGGCCAAUACAAGGCUCUAACCACAAUUGAACUCUCUGCUUUCCAUCAGUCGCCCACCCUGUUGUGUACAAAGAAGCAGAUAUGCAAUAUAGCAGGAGCCCCAAGAAAAGGUGCAUGAAGAUAUAUGGGAUGGAACGUACCUCGUUUCCAAUGGUAAAGCUUUUAAAAAUGUUGUUGAAAGCAUCAGUGCUGAAAGAUUACCUCAUACUUUACCAGCUUAUCAUAAUCCCUGUACAGUAUAAAAAUAACAACAAUGAAUACAUAUUGAGCA
rnacentral:lncRNA from 1 species